UUUGGGGAUUUGAUAAGUUUACAUAUGUUGUAAAACUAUGUAGAUAUACGCUAUGUAAAACUAUGUACAAAUAUGCUAUGUUCAUGGUUUUUUUCAUUUACAUGUAAAAUGAACAAAGUGAAGAUAUUGCUGACAAUUAUGACAAGCACCAAGAGUUAACCACCAAAACACAGGACUCUGAAGAUAUCUUUACCAAGCAAUCUAUCUCUAUUUUUACAGAGGAAUCCAAACAACCAUGUCAACGUACUCAAGGAGUUCUCACUUAUACAGUUAUACUUUAUACUGUUUACCACUAGUCAUGUUUUUAAUGUGUUAUAAAUUGACAAUAUGCUUGAUGAUUGCUUAUGCAUGAAACACUGUGUAGCAAAACUUUCUUAACAUCUGGUAGAGAUGUGCUCAACAAACAUAAAAAUAUAUUACCAUAGAUAUUUUUGAAACUGUGAACAUGAAUAAUUACUAUAUACUUGCUCUUUCAGAGUCAUUUGUCACCCACUGGCCCCUAUAAUUGGUUAUUGUUACAGUUUGACUUUGCAUCAAAUGUAUUACGUCAACAAUCCUUUGUUGUUCAUGAUUAAAAUGCAAACAAAAGAACAAUUAUGGAUAAUUCAUUUGUAUUUUUACAUCGAUAUCCCAACCUAUUGCUCGAUGGCUACAGUUGGAUAUUAGGCUGCUCAUUUGAUGCAAGUAGAAAGAAAUUUGUUGAAGCCUUGCCUAACAAUAUACAAUUAGAUCCUCAAAAAGAAUCCACAUCAACGAUGCAGUCUGUUUUCAGUGAUCAUUCCUACCAUGAGAUACAACCUACCAUUAGUGCAGUGUGCAGGGAAGUGCAAUGGAUUGCAGUAAAACCAGUGAAUAGUCAAUGGGGGGUUUGUUAUAUGUAAGUAGUCCAUAGAUGAUCUGCAAAAAAAUAGCAAAAGUACUUUAUUGGUCUUCAA